AUUGAACGCUGGCGGCAGGCCUAACACAUGCAAGUCGAACGGUAACAGGAAGCAGCUUGCUGCUUCGCUGACGAGUGGCGGACGGGUGAGUAAUGUCUGGGAAACUGCCUGAUGGAGGGGGAUAACUACUGGAAACGGUAGCUAAUACCGCAUAACGUCGCAAGGCCAAAGAGGGGGACCUUAGGGCCUCUUGCCAUCGGAUGUGCCCAGAUGGGAUUAGCUAGUAGGUGGGGUAACGGCUCACCUAGGCGACGAUCCCUAGCUGGUCUGAGAGGAUGACCAGCCACACUGGAACUGAGACACGGACCAGACUCCUACGGGAGGCAGCAGUGGGGAAUAUUGCACAAUGGGCGCAAGCCUGAUGCAGCCAUGCCGCGUGUAUGAAGAAGGCCUUCGGGUUGUAAAGUACUUUCAGCGGGGAGGAAGGGAGUAAAGUUAAUACCUUUGCUCAUUGACGUUACCCGCAGAAGAAGCCCCGGCUAACUCCGUG
rnacentral:rRNA from 1 species